UUACAGGAAGUUUGGGCGAUAAUUGUCUAUGGGGAUGUCCGGCGAAUUCUCAGCUGUGCUCGCCGCGGCAAAAAUCGUACGCAAUUUGCAAGCGAGCUUAUAGUGGGAAACCAAGGUCUUAAGAGUCAAAUUUUAGUCAGCGUUUUUUAUUUUUUUAAAUAAUAAUAAUAUAGUUAAAGAAUUUGUGCAAUAAUUAAAUAAUUAAUAUGAUGUAAAUAUAGUUUAAUGGAUUUGUUUUUUCUUUAAAUAAUGAUUAGUGGUGUCAGCUUUGCUGGUACUUUGAUGUUCAUCCCUUCAUUCUCAAGUUUGGUUGAUUUUCCAUGUGUUUUUUUCGAAAAUAAAAGUUUUUUUAUUUAUUUAUCAAAGUUUAUUUUUAGUUAUGGUUGACUGGAGUAAAAUUUACGUAUGAUAUAAUAAAUAUAUGUUUUUUUGUUUUUUUUUCAUAUGAUUUUUAUUAAAGGAAAAAAAUAGAGGUACAGACUACAGACUUUUAAAAGAAAAAAGUAGAAUACAAAACACAGCAUGUAAUGCUUCCGGAGGGAGACUAUGAGGUGGCAACACAAAAAUGGAAUCCCACAAGUCACCAUGCAGCCAGAUGGGAGUCGACAUUGGAGAAGGGAUCCAUGGCCAACGAAUGGCUUCAACC
rnacentral:lncRNA from 1 species